rnacentral:rRNA from 1 species
GUAGGUGGCAAGCGUUGUCCGGAAUUAUUGGGCGUAAAGCGCGCGCAGGCGGUUCUUUAAGUCUGAUGUGAAAGCCCACGGCUCAACCGUGGAGGGUCAUUGGAAACUGGAGAACUUGAGUACAGAAGAGGAAAGCGGAAUUCCACGUGUAGCGGUGAAAUGCGUAGAGAUGUGGAGGAACACCAGUGGCGAAGGCGGCUUUCUGGUCUGUAACUGACGCUGAGGCGCGAAAGCGUGGGGAGCAAACAGGGAUUAGAUACCCUGGUAGUCCACGCCGUAAACGAUGAGUGCUAAGUGUUAGGGGGUUUCCGCCCCCUUAGUGCUGCAGCUAACGCAUUAAGCACUCCGCCCUGGGAGUACGGCCGCAAGGCUG